rnacentral:rRNA from 1 species
AAUACCGAAUACACCCUGCUGGCUGCAUGGUCUGGUUGGGGAAAGCUUUUGCGGUGUGGGAUGGGCCCGCGGCCUAUCAGCUUGUUGGUGAGGUUACGGCUCACCAAGGCGACGACGGGUAGCCGGCCUGAGAGGGUGACCGGCCACACUGGGACUGAGAUACGGCCCAGACUCCUACGGGAGGCAGCAAUGGGGAAUAUUGCACAAUGGGCGCAAGCCUGAUGCACCGACGCCGCGUGAGGGAUGACGGCCUUCGGGUUGUAAACCUCUUUCACCAGGGACGAAGCGCAAGUGACGGUACCUAUAGAAAAAGGACCGGCCAACUACGUGCCAGCAGCCGCGGUAAU